GAUGAACGCUGGCGGCGUGCCUAAUACAUGCAAGUCGAGCGAACGGACGAGAAGCUUGCUUCUCUGAUGUUAGCGGCGGACGGGUGAGUAACACGUGGAUAACCUACCUAUAAGACUGGGAUAACUUCGGGAAACCGGAGCUAAUACCGGAUAAUAUUUUGAACCGCAUGGUUCAAAAGUGAAAGACGGUCUUGCUGUCACUUAUAGAUGGAUCCGCGCUGCAUUAGCUAGUUGGUAAGGUAACGGCUUACCAAGGCAACGAUGCAUAGCCGACCUGAGAGGGUUGUCCGGCCCCCUGGGACCUGAGCACCGUCCCGGCUCCCUCCGGGGGCCGCCGGUGGGGAUUCUUCCGCAUUGGCCGAAACCCUACCGGAGCACCGCCGCGUGGUUGAUGAAGGUCUUCGGUUCGUAAAACCCUUUAUUAGGGAAGAACAUAUGUGUAAGUAACUGUGCACAUCUUGACGGUACCUAAUCAGAAAGCCACGGCUAACUACGUG
rnacentral:rRNA from 1 species